GGCACAGCAAGCAGUGUAUAUGGAGGAGGAAUGCUAGCCGGAGUUCAACCUGAGGAUGAUCUUUCAGGACUCUACUAAGUUGACCAAAAGGACCAACCCUGAC